AUGAACAUGUAUAAAAUUAUAAUUAUUUCAUCACAUUUACGUUAAAAAAUUUAUUUUAAUGGAAAUGUGAUACAAU
rnacentral:sRNA from 1 species